GACGAACGCUGGCGGCAUGCCUAACACAUGCAAGCCGAGCGGUAGAGAUUCAUCGGAAUCUUGAGAGCGGCGAACGGGGGCGGAACACGCGUGCGACCUGCAGUUAUUCGGGGGAUAGGCUUUCGAAAGGAAGAGUAAUACCCCAUAAUAUAGUGAAUGGAAUCAGUUGAUAUUGAAAACUUCGUUGGAUCGAGAUGGGCCCGUGAAAGGCUAGAUAGGUGGUGAGGUAACGGCUCACCAAGUCUACGAUCGUUCGGGGGCCUGCGAGGGUGAUCCCCCAUACUGGUACUGAGACACGGACCAGACUCCUACGAGGGGCAGCAGUGAGGAAUAUUGGACAAUGGGUGCGAGCCUGAUCCAGCCAGCCCGCGUGAAGGACGACGGCCCUAUGGGUUGUAAACUUCUUUUGUAUAGGGAUAAACCUAGAUACGUGUAUCUAGCUGAAGGUACUAUACGAAUAAGCACCGGCUAACUCCGUGCCAGCCGCCGCAGUAA
rnacentral:rRNA from 1 species